ACCUGGCUGGUUCACUCUGUAGAGCAUGUGACUCUUGAACUCAGGACUGUGAGUUCGAGCCUCAUGUUGGGUG
rnacentral:tRNA from 1 species